UCUUGUUCAUGCUUUACUAAAUUGCUUUUAUUUCAUAACACGUUAUCAGCACGAGUCUCUAACCACUUGUAUAUAUAUAUCUACAAAAUUUUUCCUACAUCCAGAAAGAUUACAAUUAGAAGCCAUACAUAUCAUCACAUGGUUAAAUGUAAAGAGAAACUACAUAUGGUAAGUAAUGAAAUGUAAGAAGGUAUGAUUAUCUUAUACUUGUCAUUCCUUUAAAAUCUCAUAUGCACACAACUUUGUACUACACAUGUAUUGCAUAAGCACAUAUUAAUAUUACAUCUUUUUUAUCACAUGAAUAGAAUAAAAUUUUCGAAGUUCUAUAUGUUAAAAUCAUAGUACCAGUUAAUUGUUGAUAUGAUGCAUGUCAUGGUAACCAAGGAUAUUUUAUAUAAAUUGUCUUAUGCAUAUUUAUGUGUUAACUAUCUUCAAUAUGUCCUGCCGCUUAUAACAUUUUCUUUUACUUGGAUGAAUAUUUUUUUUCUUUUGGAUUUUUACACUUGCAUAAGUACCAAAAAAAAGGAAUAAAAAUAAAAUAAAAUUGAUCAUACUGAUUAAAAGCAUAAAUCAUCUUGAAGAAAACAAGAAAUACUUCACAUCUUUAUCUAGGUUGAUUAAUUACUUCUUUGAAGUUUGGAAAACAAACCAGCUAUUGAGAAAAUGUACUUCAUAAUUUAUGGUCGUAUCAUUUGAAAACAAACAAUGAUUAGUAUGACUACUAGAAAAGGUAUUUUUGAAUAUCCAUAACCUACUUGAUGUUUGCUACUAACUUACCAUUUUUAAGUAUUUUAUAUGAAUGAUGCACAAGCUACAACUGGUAAGUUGUUACCUAUAAUGUCAUUUUUCAGGUAAUAUAAAUGUUGAAUUUAUGUAUUAGUACUAUAUAUGUGUUGUUACCUAUAUGGUGUACUUUUGAUAAAUUUAUUCACUAAUUGUUUGGUUGAAUUGAGUGAAGGAAAGUCAUAGCGUUAAAUCAAAUCCAAUAGGUAUGGUAUACCCCAAAAACAACAAUAUUUUU
rnacentral:lncRNA from 1 species